AAGUCGUAACAAGGUUUCCGUAGGUGAACCUGCGGAAGGAUCAUUAAUGAAUUAACAACUCAUUUAUUCACCUUGUGAAUUAGUAACGUUGGUCGCAAGACUGGCGUGACUGGAUGAAAGUUUUUCAUCUGGCAAACAAACAUUUAUUACUUAUUACAAUUCUUAAACCUUUAAUAACAAAAUAUUAAACAACCUUUAUCAAUGGAUCUCUUGGCUCCUGGAACGAUGA
rnacentral:misc_RNA from 1 species